rnacentral:rRNA from 1 species
GGUCUUGACAUCCCGAUGCUAUUUCUAGAGAUAGAAAGUUACUUCGGUACAUCGGUGACAGGUGGUGCAUGGUUGUCGUCAGCUCGUGUCGUGAGAUGUUGGGUUAAGUCCCGCAACGAGCGCAACCCCUAUUGUUAGUUGCCAUCAUUCAGUUGGGCACUCUAGCGAGACUGCCGGUAAUAAACCGGAGGAAGGUGGGGAUGACGUCAAAUCAUCAUGCCCCUUAUGACCUGGGCUACACACGUGCUACAAUGGUUGGUACAACGAGUUGCGAGUCGGUGACGGCGAGCUAAUCUCUUAAAGCCAAUCUCAGUUCGGAUUGUAGGCUGCAACUCGCCUACAUGAAGUCGGAAUCGCUAGUAAUCGCGGAUCAGCACGCCGCGGUGAAUACGUUCCCGGGCCUU